AUUAAAGUCAUGAUAGGGUUGGAUAGAGAAGUAGAGUAUAGAAACCUCUUGUUUGUCACAUGAGUCUCUUUAGGACAGUUGUAGUAGGCAGAAUUCUAAAAUGGUCCCCAAGACUUACCCCCACUGUACACACCCUGUUACUGUAAAUUUGAUGUAUCUACUACCUUGACUAGGUUACGUUUUAUGGCACAGUUGACCUAAUUAUCCAGGUGGACCUGCCCUAAUCAGAUGAGCCUUUUAAAAGCAAAGAAUUUUCUUGGCUGGUUGCAGAAGAGAAAGUCAGAGAGUUGAAGCAUAUAGGCCAUUGCUGGCUUAAAGAUGGACGCAGGUAUGUAGUAAGGAAUGUGGGCAACCUCUAGGAGCUGAGAGCAGUUCCUGGAUGACAGCCAGCAAGGAAACUGGGACCUCAGUCCUGCAAGGAAAUGAAUUCUGCCAACAACCACUUGAUCUUGGAAGAGGACCUCAAGCCUCAGAUGAGAAACACAGUCCAGGCUGACACCUUGAUUAUAGCUUGGUGAGACCUUUGAGCAGAGAGCCCAGUCACAUUAUGGCCUUACUUAUGACCUACAGAAACUGGGAGAUAAU
rnacentral:lncRNA from 10 species